rnacentral:lncRNA from 1 species
UGUGUUGUAUAUUUCUUAGUCCAUCCAUGUCGACGUUUUUGGUGGUGUGUGUUGUAUAUUUCUUAGUUUAGCUAGGCUAUCGGCCAAUGUAUAUUCAGUUUGUCCGGUAAAUAUUGUUCUAUAAAUUUGGCAAUUCAUUUUUGUUCUUAAUUUUUUUUUCCGACUUACAUAUGAUCAGGGACAGAAACUGAGCCACCGAGAAAAACAGAUCUCGACUCCUCGCGUCGUCUCCUCCAGGCGACUCAGGGGCCGAUCUGCUGCCACUACCACUGGCUCCCCUCCACGCCUCUUCCACGUUGUCGUACCCUGAGGUGGCCGCCAGCGAAGGCCAUGCGGCCUCUGAUGAAGGGGGCGGCGCGGAUCUGGCUAUUGGCUGCUGCACACGACAGAUUGGAGGUCAUCUGUUGUCCGUGAUGGGGGCAUCUGUUGACUCGUGGACGUGCGGAUGCCAUGGCAGGAUUGAUGCGCUGUUUCGUGCGGCAGCAGUGAUCUCUGUUCUCCUCUGGCGUCUUC